CCAGGGGCUGCGGAGCCGGUGGUGCCCGCGGCUGCUCAACUCACCGUCCCCGCAACGGGCUGCGCUUUCGGGAAGGGGCGAAUCCCGGGGCUCCCUUAACCCCAGCCCAGCGUCCGCUCCCUGCGGCGACUGCGCUCAGCUCCCGCGAUUUAAAGGAACAAGGCGCCUGCCCUGCUGCCGGUAGUUCUGACACACCAGCCGGGACCCUCCUGCUCCGCCCCCAGGGAGCCCCCGCCCCCGGUGCUCGGCGCUGGCGCCCCUUGGACACACGGGCCCAGGCUCCGGCUCACCCUUGUGACUGAGUUUCCUCCACACAGUCCCCCUCAACGCUCGGCAGGGCGGAGGGCGGGGCUGUGGGACUCAUUUCAUUCACCUUCCCUCCCCCCGGGCCCGGCUUUCCUGCUCUCCUCAGCCCUUGACUGCAAAGAGUAAAACUGCCUCUGAAGAGCCCCACACCCCUAAUGUGGGUCAGGUAGCACCAGGUUUCCUUUGGCCAGGGGUGGGCAAACUUUUUGGCCAGAGAUCCACGUCUAGUUGUUAUAACAGGCGGCAUAUGAAAGACCUCUUCAUGGAAAGAUGUAACAAGAGAAAAGUUUAGCUCUACAAACAAUUCUGCAGACAAAGACCUUGAUGUUUGCAGCCAUUUGACAUCAUUCAGCCAUCACUUCUUAUGACUCAGGGCCUGGGGAUGAUGAAAUGCUAAGACCCACUGCACAGAUUUCAAAGGCUGAGCAUCCAAGACCUUCUCAAGAAUUUGGAUUCAUAUAAUGACUGAAAAUCUGACAGCUGUUUGCCAGAAAUGAAUUAGUGGUUUCAGCCCAGUUCAUAUCAGAUAUGUGUCCAUGUCACAAGAAUCACCACCACAAUAGGCACUGAGGCCCA